rnacentral:rRNA from 1 species
CUACGGGUCGCAGCAGUAAGGAAUAUUGCGCAAUGGAGGCAACUCUGACGCAGCCAUGCCGCGUGCAGGAAGAAGGCCUUAUGGGUCGUAAACUGCUUUUAUUUAGGAAUAAACCCCCGAACGUGUUCGGGGCUGAAGGUACUAAACGAAUAAGCACCGGCUAACGCGUGCCAGCGAGCCGCGGUAAUACGGAGGGUGCAAGCGUUAUCCGGAUUUAUUGGGUUUAAGGGGUGCGCAGGCGGGCUAUUAAGUCAGUGGUGAAAUCCCGGGGCUCAACUCCGGAACUGCCAUUGAUACUGAUAGUCUUGAGUUUGGUUGAAGUGGGCGGAAUGUAGCAUGUAGCGGUGAAAUGCAUAGAUAUGCUACAGAACACCAAUCGCGAAGGCAGCUCACUAAGCCAAAACUGACGCUCAUGCACGAAAGCGUGGGGAUCAAACAGGAUUAGAUACCCUCGUAGUC